CGGGAUGCACCAGCAGCAGGGAAUAUUGCACAAUGGACGGAAGUCUGAUGCAGCGACGCCGCGUGGAUGAUGAAGGCCCUCGGGUUGUAAAAUCCUUUUCAGGGGGACGAGGAAGGACGGUACCCUUGGAAUAAGCGUCGGCUAACUACGUGCCAGCAGCCGCGGUAAGACGUAGGACGCAAGCGUUAUCCGGAUUUAAUGGGCGUAAAGCGUCUGUAGGCGGAAUGGUAAGUUGGACGUGAAAGCUCCGGGCUCAACUCGGAGAGGUCGUUCAAUACUGCCAAACUAGAGGGCAUCAGAGGAGCGUGGAAUUUCCGGUGUAGCGGUAAAAUGCGCAGAUAUCGGAAGGAACACCAAUGGCGAAGGCAGCGCUCUGGGAUGAACCUGACGCUAAGAGACGAAAGCUAGGGGAGCGAACAGGAUUAGAUACCCUCGUAGUC
rnacentral:rRNA from 1 species